UGUGGUUGCCCAAUUAGUCCCU
rnacentral:miRNA from 1 species